GACGAACGCUGGCGGCGUGCUUAACACAUGCAAGUCGAACGGAAAGGCCCUGCUUUUGUGGGGUGCUCGAGUGGCGAACGGGUGAGUAACACGUGAGUAACCUGCCCUUGACUUUGGGAUAACUUCAGGAAACUGGGGCUAAUACCGGAUAGGAGCUCCUGCUGCAUGGUGGGGGUUGGAAAGUUUCGGCGGUUGGGGAUGGACUCGCGGCUUAUCAGCUUGUUGGUGGGGUAGUGGCUUACCAAGGCUUUGACGGGUAGCCGGCCUGAGAGGGUGACCGGCCACAUUGGGACUGAGAUACGGCCCAGACGGCUACGGGAGGCAGCAGUGGGGAAUAUUGCACAAUGAGCGGAAGCCUGAUGCAGCAACGCCGCGUUCGGGAUGACGGCCUUCGGGUUGUAAACCGCUUUCGCCUGUGACGAAGCGUGAGUGACGGUAAUGGGUAAAGAAGCACCGGCUAACUACGUG
rnacentral:rRNA from 1 species